AGCGAACGCUGGCGGCAGGCUUAACACAUGCAAGUCGAGCGCCUGUAGCAAUACAGGAGCGGCAGACGGGAGAGUAACACGUGGGAAUAUGCCCUUCGGUUCGGAAUAACUCAGGGAAACUUGAGCUAAUACGGGAUACGCCCUUACGGGGAAAGAUUUAUUGCCGAAGGAUUAGCCCGCGUCCGAUUAGCUAGUUGGUGAGGUAACGGCUCACCAAGGCGACGAUCGGUAGCUGGUCUGAGAGGAUGAUCAGCCUCAUUGGGACUGAGACACGGCCCAAACUCCUACGGGAGGCAGCAGUGGGGAAUAUUGGACAAUGGGCGCAAGCCUGAUCCAGCCAUGCCGCGUGGGUGAUGAAGGCCCUAGGGUUGUAAAGCCCUUUCAGCGGGGAAGAUAAUGACGGUACCCGCAGAAGAAGCCCCGGCUAACUUCGUGCCAGCCGCCGCGGUAA
rnacentral:rRNA from 1 species